GACGUGGUGUAAAUAUUGGGCGGUAGUGGAUGUUAUAACGCUGAAUUAUUAAACUGUAAGUGACUGUUGUAUUUCUUAUUUAUAAAU
rnacentral:tRNA from 1 species